ensembl:lncRNA
CCACCCACCACAUCCCAUCGACCCCACACUGUGCCCCAUUGACCCCACCCUUAACCCCAUAUCCCCCAUUGCCCCCAUAACCCCAACUGUCCCCCCCUUCCUCCCCCAUCCGGCCCCACAGACCCCAUUGCUGCCCCCCCUUUGGUUCUUACUCACCUGAGCACCCCCUAUAGGUGGGGGUCCGACCCCAUAAGCGCCCCCCGGGAUCCCAUAAGACACAGUGGGGGCCGGGGGGGGGCCGGGCCAGGAGAGAGCGGCGGAUGGGGACGGGAUGGGGGCGCCUGCGGGGAGAGGGGGUGGGGGAUAUGGGAUAUAGGAUAGGGGAUAUAGGAUAUGGGAUAUGGGGUGUGGGAUAUGGGAUGUGGGAUAUGGGAUGUGGGGGUGGGAUGUGGGAGGUGGGAUAUGGGAUAUAGGAUAUGGGGGUGGGAUGUGGGAGGUGGGAUAUGGGAUAUAGGAUAGGGGAUAUAGGAUAUGGGGGUGGGAUGUGGGAGGAGGGGUAUAGGAUAUGGGAUGUGGGAUAUGGGGGGUGGGGUUGGGGUGGGGGAUAUGGGGUGUGGGAUAUGGGAUGUGGGAUAUGGGGGUGUGGGGUCGGGGUGGGGGAUAUGGGGUGUGGGGUGGGGGAUAUGGGGUGUGGGAUAUGGGAGGUGGGAUACAGGAUAUAGGAUAUGGGAUAUAGGAUAUGGGGGUGGGAUGUGGGAGGAGGGGUAUAGGAUAUGGGAUGUGGGAUAUGGGGGGUGGGGUUGGGGUGGGGGAUAUGGGGUGUGGGAUAUGGGGUGUGGGAUAUGGGGGUGUGGGGUUGGGGUGGGGGAUAUGGGGUGUGGGGUGGGGGAUAUAGGAUGUGGGAUAUAGGAUAUGGGAUAUGGGGUGUGGGAUAUGGGGGGGUGGGGUUGGGGUGGGGGAUAUGGGAUGUGGGGUGGGGGAUAUGGGGUGUGGGAUAUGGGGGUGGGAUAUGGGAUGUAGGAUAAAGGAUAUGGGGGUGGGAGGUGGGAUAUGGGAUAUAGGAUAUGGGGGUGAGAUGUGGGAGGUGGGAUAUGGGAUAUAGGAUAUGGGGUGUGGGAUAUGGGGGUGUGGGGUUGGGGUGGGGGAUAUGGGGUGGGGGAUAUGGGGUGGAGGAUAUGGGAUAUGGGGUGUGGGAUAUGGGGGUGUGGGGUUGGGGUGGGGGAUAUGGGAAGUGGGAUAUAGGAUAUGGGAUAUGGGGUGUGGGAUAUGGGGUCUAUAGGAUAUAGGGGCUAUAGGAUAUAGGAUCCAUAGGAUAUAGGUCCAUAAGAUAUAGGGGCUAUAGGAUAUAGGGUCCAUAGGAUAUAGGGGCUAUGGGGGCUAUAGGGACCAUAGGGUCUCUAGAGGAUAUAGGGGCUAUAGGACAUGGGCUAUAGGAUAUAGGGUGCAUAGGAUAUAGGGGCUAUAGGAUAUAGGAGCUAUAGGGUCUAUAGGAAAUAGGGUCUGUAGAAAAUAAGGUCUAUAGGAUAUAGGGGUAUAGGAUAUAGGGGCCAUAGGAUAUAGGGUCUAUAGGGUCCAUAGAAUAUAGGGUCUAUAGCAUAUAGGGUCCAUAGGAUAUAGGGGCUAUAGGGUCUAUAGGAAAUAGGGGCUAUAGGAUAUAGGGCUAUAGGAUAUAGGGCUAUAGGAUAUAGGGUCCAUAGGAUAUAGGGUCUAUAGGGUCUAUAGGAAAUAGGGUCUGUAGGAAAUAAGGUCUAUAGGAUAUAGGGGCUAUAGGAUAUAGGAUCUAUAGGAUAGAGGGCCUAUAGGAUAUAGGAUCUAUAGGAUAUAGAGGCUACAGGAUAUAGGGGUAUAGGAUAUAGGGUCCAUAGGAUAUAGGGGCUAUAGGAUAUAGGGUCCAUAGGAUAUAGGGUCCAUAGGCUAUAGGGGCUAUAGGGUGUUUGGGGUCUAUAGGGCGCAUGGGGUCUCUGGGUGUGCCCACUCACCGCCGCUGUCCCCGUGGCUCCGCCCCCGCGCCCCCCGCCCGCCCCGCAUCCCCUCCAGGAGUUCCUUCACCGUGCGGGGGGGGGGCGGCGGCGCGCGCCCACCUGCGUGGGGAUGGGGGGGGGGGGGGGGGAGGGGGGACACGCGUGGGUGGGGGAACCCUCCGCUGUGACGUCACCGGGAUCCCCCCGCCUCCGCGCUGUGACGUCACGGGGAUGCCCUGCGGGGAUUCCCCCCCUCCCUCCUCCCACGGCCGCACGUGGGGAAACCCCCGCGGGGGGACCUUAAAGGGACAGAGCCCUCCUUAAAGUCUCUCUUAAAGGGCCAGCGGCCCAUUCCCCCCCCCUCCCUUAAAGGGCCAGCGCCCCAUUCCCAUCUCUCUUCAAGGGCCGGCGUCCCUUUCCCACCUCUCUUAAAGGGACAGCAUCCCCUCCCAGUUCCCUUAAAGGGCCAGCUCCGAAUUGCCAAGUCUCUUAAAGGACCAGCGUCCCAUUUCCAGCUCCAUCUCUCUUAAAGGGCCAGCACCCCGCUCAAGCCGCUCUUAAAGAGCCGGCCGCCCAUUCCCAACUCUCUUAAAGGGCCAGCGACCUCCUCCCUCCGCCCUUAAAGGGCCAGUACCCCCCCCCCAGCUCUCUUAAAGGGCCCGCAUUCCCCUUCCUGCUCUCUUAAAGGGCCACAGUCCCACUCCCCGCUCUCUUAAAGGGCCCGCGUACCUCUGUGGGGCCGCAUGUCUCCGUCGCGAGUUGCAAAUGGGGCCGGUGUGGCCCCGGGGGCCGUUAUAGCGGGGGGGAGGUGACACCGCAGUGACGGCGACAUUGGGGGGGGCGGGGUUAGGGGGUGCGGGGACAGCCGGGUUCCCCCGGGUGACGUCACGGGUGGGCCGCCCCCGCGUGAUGUCAGCGGAGCCUUUUGGAGAAGCGUGUCCCCCCUCCACGUGCCACCGCGGGGCGCGGGCCCUUUAAGGGCUUUCCCACGUCCCCCCCACCAGAGGGGCGCGGGCCCUUUAAGGGGGGGUGGGGAGGGGAGGGGAUCCCAGUGUGCAAUGGGGGGGAAUUGGGGGUCCUGGGGGGAUUCUGGGGGGCCGUGGAGGCACUCAGGGAUCUUUGGGGACAUCGGGGGUUCCCCCCCCCAGACCCCCAUUUCCCCCCCAAGACCCCCAUUCCCCCCCCCC